rnacentral:rRNA from 1 species
UACGGGGGGGGCAAGCGUUGUUCGGAAUUACUGGGCGUAAAGGGCUCGUAGGCGGCCAACUAAGUCGGAUGUGAAAUCCCCAAGCUUAACUUGGGAACUGCAUCCGAUACUGGAUGGCUUGAAUCCGGGAGAGGGAUGCAGAAUUCCAGGUGUAGCGGUGAAAUGCGUAGAUAUCGGGAGGAACACCAAUGGCGAAGGCAGCUCGCUGGGACGUGACUGACGCUGAGACGCGAAAGCGUGGGGAGCAAACAGG